rnacentral:rRNA from 1 species
UACGUAGGGGGCAAGCGUUGUCCGGAUUUAUUGGGCGUAAAGAGCGUGUAGGCGGCCAGGUAGGUCAGCUGUGAAAACUCGAGGCUCAACCUCGAGACGUCGGUUGAAACCACCUGGCUAGAGUCCGGAAGAGGAGAGUGGAAUUCUGGUGUAGCGGUGAAAUGCGCAGAUAUCAGGAAGAACACCCGUGGCGAAGGCGGCUCUCUGGGACGGUACUGACGCUGAGACGCGAAAGCGUGGGGAGCGAACAGG